UUGAACGCUGGCGGCAUGCCUUACACAUGCAAGUCGAACGGCAGCACGGGUGCUUGCACCUGGUGGCGAGUGGCGAACGGGUGAGUAAUACAUCGGAACAUGUCCUGUAGUGGGGGAUAGCCCGGCGAAAGCCGGAUUAAUACCGCAUACGAUCUACGGAUGAAAGCGGGGGACCUUCGGGCCUCGCGCUAUAGGGUUGGCCGAUGGCUGAUUAGCUAGUUGGUGGGGUAAAGGCCUACCAAGGCGACGAUCAGUAGCUGGUCUGAGAGGACGACCAGCCACACUGGGACUGAGACACGGCCCAGACUCCUACGGGAGGCAGCAGUGGGGAAUUUUGGACAAUGGGCGAAAGCCUGAUCCAGCAAUGCCGCGUGUGUGAAGAAGGCCUUCGGGUUGUAAAGCACUUUUGUCCGGAAAGAAAUCCUUGGCCCUAAUACGGUCGGGGGAUGACGGUACCGGAAGAAUAAGCACCAGCUAACUACGUG
rnacentral:rRNA from 1 species